UACGUAGGGCGCGAGCGUGUCCGGAAUUAUUGGGCGUAAAGAGCUCGUAGGCGGCCUGUUGCGUCCGCUGUGAAAGCCCGGGGCUUAACCCCGGGUCGGCAGUGGAUACGGGCAGGCUAGAGGUAGGUAGGGGGAGACUGGAAUUCCUGGUGUAGCGGUGGAAUGCGCAGAUAUCAGGAGGAACACCAAUGGCGAAGGCAGAUCUCUGGGCCGUAACUGACGCUGAGGAGCGAAAGCAUGGGGAGCGAACAGG
rnacentral:rRNA from 1 species